rnacentral:rRNA from 1 species
GACCCGCCGUCACAUUACACAUGCAGGUUGAACGGUAGAGUAGCAAUACUCGAGAGUGGCGAACGGGUGAGUAUAUAUCGGAACGUGCCCAACUGUGGGGGAUAACGUAGAGAAAUUUACGCUAAUACCGCAUACGAUCUAAGGAUGAAAGCGGGGGAUCGCAAGACCUCGCGCAGUUGGAGCGGCUGAUAUCAGAUUAGCUUGUUGGUGAGGUAAAAGCUCACCAAGGCGACGAUCUGUAGCUGGUUUGAGAGAACGACCAGCCACACUGGGACUGAGACACGGCCCAGACUCCUACGGGAGGCAGCAGUGGGGAAUUUUGGACAAUGGGCGAAAGCCUGAUCCAGCAAUGCCGCGUGCAGGAAGAAGGCCUUCGGGUUGUAAACUGCUUUUGUACGGAACGAAACGGUCCUUUUUAAUACAGAGGGCUAAUGACGGUACCGUAAGAAUAAGCACCGGCUAACUACGUGCCAGCAGCCGCGGUAAUACGUAGGGUGCGAGCGUUAAUCGGAAUUACUGGGCGUAAAGCGUGCGCAGGCGGUUAUAUAAGACAGUUGUGAAAUCCCCGGGCUCAACCUGGGAAUUGCAUCUGUGACUGUAUAGCUAGAGUACGGUAGAGGGGGAUGGAAUUCCGCGUGUAGCAGUGAAAUGCGUAGAUAUGCGGAGGAACACCGAUGGCGAAGGCAAUCCCCUGGACCUUGUACUGACGCUCAUGCACGAAAGCGUGNGGAGCAAACAGGAUUUAGAUACCCUGGUAGUCCACGCCCUAAACGAUGUCAACUGGUUGUAAGGGUGCUU